rnacentral:rRNA from 1 species
GAUGAACGCUGGCGGCGUGCCUAACACAUGCAAGUCGAACGGAAAGGCCCUGCUCUUGUGGGGUGCUCGAUUGGCGAACGGGGGAGUAUCACGCGAGUAUCCUGCCCUUGUCUUUGGGAUAACUUCACGAAACUGGGGCUAUUAUCGGAUAGGAUCUCCUGCUCCAUGGGGGGCGUUGGAAAGUUUCGGCGGUUGGGGAUGGACUCGCGGCUUACCGGCUUGUUUGUGAGGUAGUUGCUUACCAAGGCUUAGACGGGUAGCCGGCCUGAGAGGGUGAACGGCGACCAUGGGACUGAGGUACGGCGCAGACGGCUACGGGAGGCAACAGGGGGGAAUAUUGCGCAAUGAGGGGACGCCUGAUGCAGCAGCGCCGCGAGCGGGAAACCGGCCUUCUGGGGAAAAACAACUUUCGCCUGAAACGAGCCGUGAGUGACGGUAAUGGAUAAAAAAGCCACGGCUAACUACGUG